CAGUAGUCACGUAGUUGAUCAGUGGCUACAGAACGAACGCUGGCGGCAUGCCUAACACAUGCAAGUCGAACGAGACCUUCGGGUCUAGUGGCGCACGGGUGCGUAACGCGUGGGAACCUGCCUUUAGGUUCGGAAUAACUCAGAGAAAUUUGAGCUAAUACCGGAUAAUGUCUUCGGACCAAAGAUUUAUCGCCUUUAGAUGGGCCCGCGUUGGAUUAGCUAGUUGGUGGGGUAAAGGCCUACCAAGGCGACGAUCCAUAGCUGGUCUGAGAGGAUGAUCAGCCACACUGGGACUGAGACACGGCCCAGACUCCUACGGGAGGCAGCAGUGGGGAAUAUUGGACAAUGGGCGAAAGCCUGAUCCAGCAAUGCCGCGUGAGUGAUGAAGGCCUUAGGGUUGUAAAGCUCUUUACCCGAGAUGAUAAUGACAGUAUCGGGAGAAUAAGCUCCGGCUAACUCCGUG
rnacentral:rRNA from 1 species